CAAUAGCAUAUAUUAACGUUGUUGCAGUUGAAAAGCUCGUAGUUGAACUUUUGGUAGGAGCGACCUGGCCUUGGGCGCAUGCCCUUGUUUGCCGUGUGUCGUAUCUGGCCAUCCUUUUCUUCUUCGGAAGGAAUCUUUUACUGUGAGUAAACUGGAGUGCUCAAAACAAGACGUUUGUUUGGUACAUUAAAGCAUGGAAUAAUAAGAUAGGACCUGGUUACUAUUUUGUUGGUUUGCAUAGCUAGGUAAUGAUUAACAGGGACAGUUGGGGGUAUUCGUAUUUAAUUGUCAGAGGUGAAAUUCUUGGAUUUAUGAAAGACGAACGACUGCGAAAGCAUUUACCAAGGAUGUUUUCAUUGA
rnacentral:rRNA from 1 species